rnacentral:rRNA from 2 species
UUUAAGUGGAGAGUUUGAUCCUGGCUCAGAACGAACGCUGGCGGCGUGCCUAACACAUGCAAGUCGAACGAGAAACUUCCUGCUUGCAGGAAGGAGUAAAGUGGCGCACGGGUGAGUAACGCGUGGGUAACCCACCCCUGAAUUCGGGAUAACUCCUCGAAAGAGGUGCUAAUACCGGAUGCUGUCCCAGAGAUGGUGGUCUCAGGGAUAAAAGGUGACCUCUUCAUGAAAGUUGCCGUUCAGGGACGGGCCCGCGUACCAUUAGCUUGUUGGUAGGGUAAUGGCCUACCAAGGCUGCGAUGGUUAGCUGGUCUGAGAGGAUGAUCAGCCACACUGGAACUGGAACACGGUCCAGACUCCUACGGGAGGCAGCAGUGAGGAAUUUUGCGCAAUGGGGGAAACCCUGACGCAGCAACGCCG